rnacentral:rRNA from 1 species
CCUACGGGGGGCAGCAGUGAGGAAUAUUGGUCAAUGGACGAGAGUCUGAACCAGCCAAGUAGCGUGAAGGAUGACUGCCCUAUGGGUUGUAAACUUCUUUUAUAUGGGAAUAAAAUGUUCCACGUUUGGGAUUUUGUAUGUACCCUAUGAAUAAGGAUCGGCUAACUCCGUGCCCGCAGCCGCGGUCAUACGGAGGAUCCGAGCGUUAUCCGGAUUUAUUGGGUUUAAAGGGAGCGUAGGUGGAUUGUUAAGUCAGUUGUGAAAGUUUGCGGCUCAAACGUAAAAUUGCAGUUGAAACUGGCAGUCUGGAGUACAGUAGAGGUGGGCGGAAUUCGUGGUGUAGCGGUGAAAUGCUUAGAUAUCACGAAGAACUCCGAGUGCGAAGGCAGCUCACUGGACUGCAACUGACACUGAGGCUCGAAAGUGUGGGUAUCAAACAGGAUUAGAUACCCUUGUAGUC